rnacentral:lncRNA from 1 species
GCAAGCUCUAACCAGGUGGAAGCUGUUCAAGGGGACCUGUUAACACUAAUUUCCACCAAGCAAGGGUUGAAUAUUAUGAACUGGGACAAACUUUACAGCUUGCAAGAGCUAUGGUGGCUUCAGAUCAUCCAUGAACAUCUCAGAGAAAAAGUGUCUGCACUUCAACAAAGGUGGAGAAGCAGCAGAAGCAAAACAGCCUUGAGGAGGGGAAGCUGAGGCAAACUGGGUGCUCAGAGUCCAAGAUUUUGACAAACCUUGGAGCUUCAGCUGUUGUCAUCUGCCUUCACACACGCUUUGUGCUGCUUUCCCUGGUUCCAGAUGGCCAGAGAGAAGACAGACAGAUAUCACAGUGCAGGCACUAUGGAGCAGCCCCAGCAGCCUGGAGAAGAGACAAUCCAUUUUUCCCUUUCUGGGAUCAUCCUGUUGCAUGUUUCCUGACUAUGCAGGACGUGGUGGAGCUGAUAGACUGGCCCUUAUAUAAGUGAUUAUAUGGACGAGCCUGUCCAGCUGCUUAUCCCUGCAGCAUGGAGUGUGGCCCUGUGUGCUUCCAUCUUCCCACAGCUUCUUUCCAGGGCACACAAUGCAAACCCUCCAUUUCAGCCAUUCUGACUGGUGACAGGAUAGCCUCAAUGUUGUUUUCAGCUGCAAUGAUAUUAAAAAUAUUAAAAUAUUCACGUUGGAAGGUCAUCUCAUAGGACCCAAUGAAGACCUGCUCCCAAAUACUGUGGAGCAUGGAUACAGUCAGUUUUUGUCAUUUGGUGCCUGUGUCUCAUCACUCUCACAGCCAAGAAUUUCUUCCCAAUGUCUAAUCUGAACCUGGCCUCUGUCAGUUUCAAGCCAUUAUCCCUUGUCCUAUCACAACAUACCCUGUAAAAAGUCCCUCUCCAGCCUUCUUGUAGCCCUCUUUAGGCACUGUGAGGCUGCUGUCAUUGUAACCACUACUUCACUGGUUCCCAUUCUAAGUUUUCCUAAGGCUGUAGUAGAUUUUCGGGAAGUUGCAUCAUUUGAAAAGGUCACCUGAUGGAAGGUUCAAGUUGUAAAUGCAUAUUCAAAUCUGGAAGACUACUAAGUGCAAAGCAGACCCCUAGACCUGUAAGGGAAAUGUGAGUAGGAUGUACAUGAUUUCAAGCUGCAACAAAGAAAUCCAAUCCCUAUCAGCAUUAUGACUUGCCAUCCUUGAUAGUACUAUGAAUUUGGAAGCUGAAAGAAAAAUGGGGAACUUUGGAAGUCACUAGUAGCUAUUACGGGAAGUGGUAUAGCUGUAGUCAAAUAAAUGUGUCCCACUUCCAACA